AUGGCCAAAGACUUCUUAGCACUUUUGUCCUUUCAUGUUCCUCAACAUACCAUGCAGCUCAUCUCUGGUGGUCAGGUUGUUGACUCUGGUUGUCAGGUAAUUUUUGACUUUGACGCAUCCUUUGUUUUGGACCGUCACACUGGUGCUGUCCUUGGUGCUGGUCCCCGAUGUCAUAACUCCCAAGGCCUGUGGGAGCUUGACUGGCUUCACUUCCCCUCUGUUGCCACCACUGCCAGUCUCUCCACCUCUAUUGCCUCCAGUCUCUGCCUCUGUUGCCUUGUCUACCAGAUAUUUUCAAGAGUGGCAACAUCGCCUUGGGUCACUUGUGAUAUCUCAUCCUUAGUUCGACGUGAUCUUCUUGGAUCCGUCUCCGAUGAUGUCUCAAAUGCGUGGCCCAGUUUCCUUGUACUCAUGGCGAGACAUUGUCUCAGCAUCCUUUAG
rnacentral:rRNA from 1 species